rnacentral:rRNA from 1 species
AGAUUGAACGCUGGCGGCAUGCCUUACACAUGCAAGUCGAACGGCAGCACGGGAGCAAUCCUGGUGGCGAGUGGCGAACGGGUGAGUAAUAUAUCGGAACGUGCCCAGUCGUGGGGGAUAACGUAGAGAAAUUUACGCUAAUACCGCAUACGAUCCAAGGAUGAAAGCGGGGGACCUAAGGCCUCGCGCGACUGGAGCGGCUGAUAUCAGAUUAGCUUGUUGGUGAGGUAAAAGCUCACCAAGGCGACGAUCUGUAGCUGGUUUGAGAGAACGACCAGCCACACUGGGACUGAGACACGGCCCAGACUCCGUACGGGA